UGCCUUUGUGUCCUGCUGGGAGCCUCCUGGCAGACCCUCCGGGAGCCCGGAGCCUCCCCCAGCUUUCUUUACUGACCCAGCCAAAAGCGCUGAAAGCCUCAGCGUGCUCCUUUACAUACCCGCCAGACACCUCCAGGAAGUGAGCGCCCGCUGCCUUCGUUCUCCCAACUGGAGCAAACUCUGUGGCGGCGACGAUGGCGGCCGUCAGGUCGGUGGUGAUGAAUAGAGAGGAUUUCUCUGCAGCGCGACGCUCCCCUCUCCCGAAAGGUUGGCUCCACGGUCCCGCCGGCCGCGCAGGUCUGGCUGAACUGCUUGGGGUCGCCCGGCUCCUCUCGAUUUUAUGAAAAUGGCCUAAUUGAGGUGUGCUCUUUUCUUUCCUUCCUCUUUUCAUCUUUUCCUUCCGUCUGCAUUUUCUCUCCUCUGUCUUAGGCUUGGUAUCUUCUUUUCUUUUUAUAUUUGUGUUUUUCUCACCGCCUUUGCUUCCUUCCAUUUCAGUUAUCUUGCUUUUUGUGUGUUCUUUCUUGAUUUCUUUCUUUCCUUUUCUUGUUAUUGCUCACUCUCUGGCUCCGCCACCCACCCCUUGCUCUAUCUUCAUUUUCCCUUUAGUACUUUUCUCCCUAUCUUUCAUCUCACUUACACUAUUUUUCUCUUUGUUUGCUUUUUCUUCCUCAUUUUUCCUUCUUCAGUUUUCUCAUUUUUCCUUCCUCCUUCCUUUUUUUUCCUCUCUCUUCUCUAUUUCUUUUUUCUUUCUCUCAUCUCCGUUUUACUUCCCUUCCUCCGCCCGCCACACACGUUUUUCCUUUGCAGCGCUCUCGCCCAGUUUUUCCAUUGUUCUUCUCUGAAGUCUGGAAAGGGCCUGCGGGGCUAUAGCUCUCAGCGGCCGGAGCCUGCGCUUGGCAGGGGACGGCCUGGAGGACGGCCUAGUGUGGCUGGUGGGUUCGCGGAGCCCUGCCCUGGAGCUCUGCCUGAGGCUAGAACAGCACCCGCUGGAGAUGAAGGGUGACUCCGGCCUUUCGCCCUGAAACGAAGUCAAGCGGGGCCUCUCCUGGCCUUAGAGGAAAAUCUUUUGGACAACUUGACAGAGGGAUCCCAGAGCUAAGAGCUCAGAGGAUGGAGGCAUGGCUGGUCAGGAGGAGGCCCCUCUCACCUCCUCCUUCCUUCUCCAACCCAGUCAGCCCUGCGACAUCCUCAGGAAUUAGAACCCUCUCGGGAUAAGCCUAAGUGCCUCUGAGGCCAGGGCUGAGGGAGCCAGCUAUCAAAACCAUGGGACAAAUGGAUCUGAGGAGGAAUCGAAGGAUGGACAGCUGAAGGGAGAGGCUUGCUCCAACAACAGGGCGGCCACGGCAGCUGCUGCGCGCCCUGACGCCGCCUAGAAACCGGAGGAGGGCCUAGCCAAGCCCAGAGAACUUUGGUGGUAUUUGAGGAGAAGGUGAAGAUUUUGGUUGGAAGAGGGACCAGCAGACAAACUUGUUCUCUUGUGUAUAAAAAGCCAUAACACGCCCCACAUCCCUCAAGCUAGGAAGAAACCUGGGCUGGAUGGUGACCCACUGGAGAAGCUGUGACAUCCUAGCAUGGGGAAGAGUACCAGGAUGCCCACUCCUCUUCCCCAGGAACCACCAAGGAGCCUGGAGCCUGGCUUUAUCUCAGCCCUGAGUCCCCCUCUCCCGGUGCGCACACCCCUAACUUUUUUUUUUUAGAUGGAAUCUUGCUCUGUCGCCCAGGCUGGAGUGCAACGGCAGCUCACUGUAAC